CUGGAUCCACAGCAGAGGCAGCAAGUGUAUGGAAGCAGAGAGGACACUGUUGGCUCUGGUCUGCAUGGGCUGGGAUCUCGUUAAGUGAGUCAACGUGCUUGGCUGCACUUCCUGCCAGCCUCCCAUCUUGUCUCACUCUCUCCGCCCCCAGCUCCCAGAACAACCAGGCUCUUAUUCAUUCACAAGGAAUCUGGUCUGAGUUGUUGUAUCUAGCCUUCCCAGAGUUCCAGGUGUUCCAGAAACCCAGGAAGUCAUCAACACUGGGGACUCCCAGAGAGGAUGGCGUCUAGAAGGUUCCAAUGGGAGUUACCACAUAAGCAAACGGGAUACUAAGGGGGAAGCGCCAUCCUUGUCUACUGAUGGGUCCCAGUCAUAUACCACCAGGUGGCAGCAGAGAGCACAGUCUGCUGACCUGGCCCCAGAAAUCCCAGGUCCCAGGGAUGAGGAAG